rnacentral:rRNA from 1 species
GGUGAACGCUAGCGGGAGGCCUAACACAUGCAAGCCGAGCGGUAUUGUUUCUUCGGAAAUGAGAGAGCGGCGUACGGGUGCGUAACACGUGUGCAACCUGCCUUUAUCUGGGGGAUAGCCUUUCGAAAGGAAGAUUAAUACUCCAUAAUAUAUUGAACGGCAUCGUUUAAUAUUGAAAGCUCCGGCGGAUAGAGAUGGGCACGCGCAAGAUUAGCUAGUUGGUGAGGUAACGGCUCACCAAGGCGAUGAUCUUUAGGGGGCCUGAGAGGGUGAUCCCCCACACUGGUACUGAGACACGGACCAGACUCCUACGGGAGGCAGCAGUGAGGAAUAUUGAUCAAUGGGUGCAAGCCUGAACCAGCCAUCCCGCGUGAAGGACGACUGCCCUAUGGGUUGUAAACUUCUUUUGUAUAGGGAUAAACCUACCCUCGAGAGGGUAGCUGAAGGUACUAUACGAAUAAGCACCGGCUAACUCCGUG